rnacentral:rRNA from 1 species
UACAGAGGUCUCAAGCGUUGUUCGGAUUCAUUGGGCGUAAAGGGUGCGUAGGCGGCGCGGUAAGUCGGGUGUGAAAUCUCGGAGCUUAACUCCGAAACUGCAUUCGAUACUGCCGUGCUUGAGGACUGGAGAGGAGACUGGAAUUUACGGUGUAGCGGUGAAAUGCGUAGAUAUCGAGAGGAACACCUGCGGCGAAGGCGGGUAGCUGGGCCGACACUGACGCUGAUGCGCGAAAGCCAGGGGAGCGAACGGG